GGAACUAUCUGGGGAAUCAAAUUCGCCGCCAACAACGACGAAGCUGAAACCAAUAGAAGCGACGUCGGAGAGCUUCCAAGAAUUCGGCCAAGUCAUAGAGCCAUCCCCAGAUGGCUUAGAGUUCGGUCCUCAAGAUGCUCAGUUGAACCUUAGCCAAGGAAUUCCCAGGUUCUAUAUUAUGGAACUCCAAGGCCGUCCGCUUAAGUUCUCGACGAUUACCCAUCACGCCAGCGUCACCCAGUGCCUUGGAUCCAUCGGAGGUCACGUUUGGUAUCUGGGUGUAGCCAAGCCAUCGAUCUUGGAUUCAAAGGAAACAGAAAGGGACGUUGUUCAGUCACAUUGUGGGCAUUUCUAUGUGCCUCCUGCUGUGGAUGAAGUGCGAGUUUUUAGAAUCUCUGGGCCUAAAUUCAUUAAACUUCAUCUUGGAACUUGGCACGCAGGGCCUCUGUUUGAGGGAGAUUCCAUGGAUUUCUACAAUUUGGAAUUAAGCAACACCAAUGUGGUGGACCACACAACACAUAGCUUCAAGAAGCAAAAUGGAGUGAUAUUUUCAGUAGAGGAG
rnacentral:misc_RNA from 1 species